AGUUCAUGCGAGAUCUGAUUGUUUAAAAGAGUGCAGCACUUCCUCCACCUUGCUCCCUCUCUUGCCACUGAUGUGCCUGCUUCCCCUUCACCUUCUGCCUGGAUUGUAAGCUCCCUGAGAACCUCACCAGAAGCAGAUGCCAGCACCACGCUUCCUAUACAGCCUGCCAAAAUGAGCUCCUGAAUUUCACAGACAAAUCCAGACCCCUGUGUGGAAAGCCUGCGGUGGUGUUCUCCGUCUUCCCACAGGACUCCCUGCAGCCAGGAAUUCUAGGGGAGCACCUGACGCGAGGUAUACGCCCAGAUGGCCUGAAGUAACUGAAGAAUCACAAAAGAAGUGAAAAUGUCCUGCCCCGCCUUAACUGAUGACAUUCCACCACAAAGGAAGUGUCAAUGGCUGGUCCUUGCCUUAACUGAUGACAUUCCACCGCAAAAGAAGUGAAAAUGGCCGGUCCUUGCCUUAACUGAUGACAUUACACCACAAAAGAAGUGAAAAUGGCCGGUCCUUGCCUUAAGUGAUGGCAUUACCUUGUGAAAGUCCUUUUCCUGGCUCAUUCUGGCUCAAAAUCACCCCCACUGAGCACCUUGUGACCCCCACUCCUGCCCGCCAGGGAACAAUCCCCCUUUGACUGUAAUUUUCCUUUACCUACCCAAAUCUUAUAAAAUGGCCCCACCCCUAUCUCCCUUUGCUGACUCUCUUUUUGGACUCAGCCUGCCUGCAUCCAGGUGAUUAAAAGCUUUUAUUGCUCAC
rnacentral:lncRNA from 1 species